rnacentral:rRNA from 1 species
GAUAAACGCUGGCGGCGCACAUAAGACAUGCAAGUUGAACGGACUUAAUCGAAAUAUUUAUAUUUUGAAGCGGUUAGUGGCGGACUGGUGAGUAACGCGUAAGGAACCUGCCUAUUAGAGGGGAAUAACAGUGAGAAAUCAUUGCUAAUACCGCAUAUGCCAUAGAUAUCACAUGAUAACAGUGGGAAAGGAGCAAUCCGCUAAUAGAUGGCCUUGCGUCUGAUUAGAUAGUUGGUGGGGUAACGGCCUACCAAGUCGACGAUCAGUAGCCGGACUGAGAGGUUGAACGGCCCCAUUGGGACUGAGAUACGGCCCAGACUCCUACGGGAGGCAGCAGUCGGGAAUAUUGCGCAAUGGAGGAAACUCUGACGCAGUGACGCCGCGUAUAGGAAGAAGGUUUUCGGAUUGUAAACUAUUGUCGUUAGGGAAGAGAAAGGACAGUACCUAAGGAGGAAGCUCCGGCUAACUACGUG